AUUGAACGCUAACGGCGUGCUUAACACAUGCAAGUCGAGCGGCAGCACAGUAGUAGCAAUACUAUGGGUGGCGAGCGGCGGACGGGUGAGUAAUGCAUAGGAAUCUGCCUUGUAGUGGGGGAUAACCCGGGGAAACUCGGGCUAAUACCGCAUAAUCUCUACGGAGCAAAGUGGGGGACCGUAAGGCCUCACGCUAAAAGAUGAGCCUAUGUUGGAUUAGCUAGUUGGUAGGGUAAAGGCCUACCAAGGCAACGAUCCAUAGCUGGUCUGAGAGGAUGAUCAGCCACGCUUGGAAUGGGACGCGGGCCAGACUCCUACGGGAGGCAGCAGUGGGGAAUAUUGGACAAUGGGAGAAGCCCUGAUCCAGCAACGCCGUGUGUGUGAAGAAGGCCUUCGGGUUGUAAAGCACUUUUAGUUGGGAAGAAAAGCUCAAGGUUAAUAUCCUUGAGUGAUGACGUUACCAACAGAAAAAGCACUGGCUAACUCUGUGCCAGCCGCCGCCGUAA
rnacentral:rRNA from 1 species